UCGUAUAAUGUGGGACACAGAUUUUGUAUUUGGUGUUAUUGGAUCAGAAUUGUUGCCGUUCCUCACUAAGAUGGGAUCAUUUUGGAAACUCAACUUGAAUGUUUUGAUCAGGUGUAUGAAAGGACUGGAGCUGUAAACAAAUAAUGGAAAUGGAAAUGGAAAACAAUAAGGUUGAAAAAGAAGCCCAUAUCCAUGCUUCUGAAGUUCGUGUGCUUUCAAAUUUCAAGAUGUUAUGGCUUUGUAAGUGGGAAAAUUCUACCACCCACAACCUUUAAUUUAAGAAAAUUCCCCUUUCUUAGGAACAAGAAUUUUUUUAAUAUCCAAGAUAGAAGUGCCCCAAUUAACUAUUUCAUGAUUUGUUCGUUGUGUGAUGAAAACUGCUUUGCAAAGAUUUGUACGAGAGCUUGCAUAUAGCAGUGAGCAACACACUAACUGUGACACACUUUUUGAGCAUUUGCCCUGGUCUCACCCCUGAAGCUGGACCUGCUUGCCUUUGGAUGCGAUUAGGUGUGUCCUUGUCAUCUAAUCGCACACCGAGUCUCUUUUCCUUAUGACGAUUUGUGCUAACAUUGGCUUUAGUGGAGUCAUUUUUGUGGUGGGUUUCAAUGAGAAGCUUCAUGAAUGAUCUCCACGACAAUGUAAGUAUGGUUCGAUGAAGCUUCACUGUUUUUCUCUCCCCAAAAAAAUUGUGUUUCAUGAUGGUUCUUACGAUACUGAUGUUGUUUAUGAGCUUAUUUCGAUUUGUAUGUGUUCCUUCUCAAAGCACAAUUGAUGCUGCUCUUCUAUGUCGACUGUGUUCUGCCCAUUGUGUUGUAGUUGUUUUAGGCACAUACUGAUUUUGGAACAUUUGUUGGCCUGUGCCAAAGAAGGCAAGUUAUACUACUUCACUACAGAAUGGCACUCACAUCAUGUUUUGUUUUGUCCGCCUGUAUAUAUGUUUUAUACUUACCAGGGGAAAUGAAUUUAAUUCCUUCUCUCCAUUGCUGGUCUCAUAGCACCAGUGUCCAUGGUCACAUUCUUAUAACCUGAGAGUAUUCAUGGUUCUGUACCAUUAAUGUGUUUUUGAUGCAAUCUUAAGUAUUUACGUUCGGAUUGGAAUAGAAGUUUCCUUUGUUGACAUCAGAGUGAUUUCAUGCACCCAAUAAACUACAACAGGGAAAUGGCCCCUACUAUGUGAUAAUAGGUACCUUUAUCAUGUGUCACGGUAACGUGGCUUCUCUAACCGUCCUUCUAUUAGGGAAUUAUUCUCCUAAUUUCUAUUUAUCUUAAAUUACUGAUAGGGACUUUGUGAUUCUUUACAGAAUGUGCACGUGCCCUGCUUGUAACUUUUGUGUCUCCUUCAGAUCCUAUUCAAGAUCUUUGUUUUAUCGUACAUGUAGCUUGUUAUUCGUUUUUCACGUUCAAUAUUUCUUCCUCGUUUUCAUUAUGAAUUUGGCUCUUAAUUUGAUGUUUGACAGCAGAUGGGUUUUACUCUAUAUUAUUGCUCUCAUAUGGCUUUUCAUCGUGUGAUUUUAUUCAUCAAGAACUUCCUUGGAACUUUAUCAUUUCACGAAUUUAGAAAUUACCCACUGCCAUUCAACCUAUUGGAUUUUAACGGUAAGUGAUGCCGAUUUAAACUUUUAGUGACUCCCCCACGUUUCCUCAAACUCGCUAAGAUAAAUUGAUACUUAAACAUGCAAAAUAAAAUGUAGCAUGCAAAUAUAAACUUUUAGUUGUCAGCUGCAGUCCUCUUCGUAUGUGGAUGGAGCCAUGUUUCUCUUGGUGAAAACUAGACCACACAGUUUGGUUCCGGUACUUCCUAAUUCAAGACCUUUUCUCUGGUUAUUUUCACCUUCUAUUUGUGCUGUUUCUAUGUUAUUAACAAUUGGCAUGUUCAUCUUACAGAUGUCUCCAAUAAUUUUGACUUAAAAGUAGCGGGUGCACGGUGGGACUAGGUUGAUCCGGUAGUAUAGGACAUGAAUUGGUCUGUUGUCUUAUAAGCAUUAUAACUCUUAUUGCGUAUAGCAAGAUUUUCCUCUUACUGGACAAACUUACGAGAUCCUAUGUUUUCUUGCGCUUUAUGUUUUGUUUUGAUUGUUACCAUCCUUGUUAUUUUCAUAAGAAUCAGUUAUCGAGUCCUGCUCUUAGUAGGCGAGGGUUUCUCCGGCAGAGAGAGAGGCAUCACUAAAGAAGGGCAUAAAUGUAUUUUCCUAGCUAUCCUUGACAAUCCAGCAUGGUAAAAAAAAAAAAAGAAUGGCGAGGGCAAAAUAGGUAAAUGAAAUUAGGAUAAAAAAAAUGAUUGAAAACGGGGAUUUGGGCUUAGGAAUAAUAUAAAUUUAAUGUACUCAAAUUCAAAUUAAUUGAAUUUUUUAAUUGGACGGAUUAAACGUUAGAUUGAAUCAUAAAUUCAAUGGAACUUCAUAUUCGACAUGUGUUUUUUCAGUAGGGGAUGGCAAUGAGCGUGUUGGGAUGAUUUUGGCCUAAACUAUGGCUAUUCCGUUUAGGAAAACCCUCCCCACCCCUCCCUGCUUAGCCUAGCUCAAUAUUUGUCUUUAUCAUCUUUUUUGAUUUUAAAAGUAUUGUUGUAUAAUAAAAUAUAUAUAAUUAUAAUGAAAACAUACAUAUAAUUACCCAUUUAAACACAUAAAAAUAUUUUUCUUAACAUCCUAAAAAAGUAAAUUUAAUAAUGGAAAAAAAAUUAAAUUUUUAUGUAUGUGACCUAAAUUAAACAAAAGUAUUUUAUAAUUAACUUUAAUUGGGUUGGAUUAGAGGUCCCAAACUACUAAACUCAACCACACCCCAAAACCAAGUGGAUAUCCCAUACCCCACCCAAAAUCCGUCAUAGAUAUUCCCAUCUCCUUCUAUUAGGGGCGAGUUUGGAGCGGAUUACCCAAAUGUCCCACCCUAUUGCCAUCCUUAUUUGUCACAAACAAUUCUUUCUUUAUUUCUUAGGCCCAAUUUGAAAUAAUAGUUUUUUUGAAUUUUUUAGUUGCCUUCGUUUUCAAGUCUUUUCGUCUUUAUUGAAUUAUUUUUACCGUAAAAUUUUAUACCUUUUCAGUUCCCUUUGACGAGGGAGUCUGAAAAUAUUUUUUUUUAUCUAAUUUAAAAAAAAACUCUACUAAAGACGAAAAGAAACUACUUUAAUUUUUUUGGAUAAAUUUUUUUUCUUUGGUAUUUUUUUAAAAUUAAAUAAUUUUUUAAUACUUUUGUACUGCUCUUCUCCAAAAGAAUAAAAAAAUUAUAAAAUUUUGAACAAAGAAAAAAAAUCACUAAAAAAAACUCGGUAAAGAAAGUAGUCCAUAAAACCAAAAAAAACUUAUGCCAUUGGCCUUAAUUGAUGAUAAGUAUACCAUAGAUAUGACCUGGCACGAGCAUUGUGGCCAGUCCGUGCUGCAAAGGUCAAUGCCACACCGAGUGAACCAACUCUCUCAAUUGGAUUAUCAAAUACGUUGCUGGUGGGAGCAAUAUUUGACCUGGAAAUAGCCCUUUUCUAGUUUGAAGUGGAAUUCAAAAACACCCUCUAACAGACGGCAAUGACCCCAGCCGUGUUAUUGGCGGUUUUAGCUGUUCUUUCUCCAGAAAGAUCACCUCUCUGUCUCUCUCUAAAAUUAUAUAUAUCUACACAAUCCCCAAAACCCACUCCACUCUGACCCUCCACUUCACAAUUCAUGUGAUUUAUCUCCCAAAUUCCCAAAACCAUUUAUCAUAAGCCAUUUUCCAUCAUCUUUCAUCGACUCUUCUCGGAUAGGAUCAAACUUCUUCCCCUUCUCCCUCUUUCCUCUUCCCCCGCUCCCUUUCUCUACUUUUUGUUUCUCUUCCCCUAUUUUUUUUCCGCCCUGCUCAACACAAAUCAAGACAAGCAAUUUCAGUUUCUUUCUUGGGUUAAAUUUUUCUCGAGACUGGUAGUGGAGACAGAAUUUUCCUGAAUUUUCAUUUGCGUGUUCCUCAUCUCCACCCCCACCGCGGUGGGAAGAGAGAGGAGAGGAGAGAAAUUCCGAGGGUUUGCGUGGCGGUGGUGGUCUGGAAAGGGGAGGAGCAACAGAGGGUGGUGGUUCCGGUGAUCUACAUCAACCACCCACUCUUCAUGAUAUUGUUGAAGGAAGCAGAGGAAGAAUAUGGGUUUGACCAAAAAGGUCCUAUCAAUAUUCCUUGCCAUGUGGACGAGUUUCGAUAUGUCAAGGGCAUAAUUGACAAACAAGAGUCCCUGCAUCAUCAUCGCCACCACCAGCUUUUGUGCUUCAGGGUUUGAAAGAUUUGUUGUGGGUGUUUGAACGCCGAAGUCGUGUAAAGUACUUGGAUUGUUGUAGACGACGACAAGAAGUUGAAUGAUAAAUGGUUGCACCGUUUUUAAGUGGAUUUGUCCGGUUUGUGAAAGGAAAACAAAUUGUAUCUGUACACACGGUUUUUUGUUCUAGCUAUGUUAUUAGGGUGUGGUUGGGAAGCUAGAGUCUAUUUUUUAACCGAUAUAUAUUAAAUUUGGGUGGUAAACCCGAGAGAAAUAUGAUCACGAAAGAUUCAGGCGGAUUUGACUCUUGAGGGAGUCACUCAAGACUCAACUACUUUUAUACUUAAAAGAUGAUUGAAGUAUUUAACUUAAAAUCAAUUGACAAUAAGUGAGCUAACCUUUUAAGAAAAUAUAUCAAGUUUAGGUGAUUAAGAUGAGCAAUGUGCGACAACUCUGGUACUUCUCCACGUGCAAACUUGAUAUAUCUUCUCUAAAGACUAUUCUACAUAUUGUCAAUUCAUUUUAGGUUAGAAGCAUCGAUCCUCUCUAACAUAGUAUCAAAUCUAGAUAUUGGAUGAAUCGCUCAUCUCACCUCACCGCACCGCUCUAUCGUGGGAAAGUCUUUCCUUGAGUUCAUAUCUCUACUCACCCUCUCCUCAUCACUUCCACAUGCAUAGGAGUAUUAGAUUUGAUUCACAUCACACACCUCGACGACCCACGUUUCAAUCACAUAAAGCUUAUUCAAUUUGACUUAUUUGUGAUGCUAAAUCUGAAUCUGAAAAUGCAAAAUACAAAAAGAAACAUGCUAGAUGGGAGAGAAGUGGAAGGGAGAUUAGCGAGGAAUAAAAGAGCAUAGCAAUAAAUAUAUAUAAGAUAUGGGACAAACAUUCUUCUGACAAUAUUUUUAUCCUUUCUUCUGAAAUGUUUUUAUGUAAUACCAAUGAAAACAUUAAUAAAAUUGUCUUUUUUUGCUGAUCAAGAAAAAUAUUAACAUGUCAUUCCAGCCUUUUUUUUUUCUCAUCAGCAAAAGAAAGAAAAUUUUAGUAAUUGCCAAAAAUAGUAUGAGUAAGAGUAAACAAUAAAGUACUGCAAACGCGUUAUUAUUUUUAUUAGAUAUUUGAGAACAUGUACGUAAUAAGAAGUAGGUUUACAAUGCUUGACAUGAUUAGUUGGUUCCUUAAAUGAUUCAUUACUAGAGUAAACCAGUACAUAAGGCAGAUGUGAUUCUAAUCACAUCACACACCACAAGACCCUUCAAAAGAAAAAAUAUAUAUAUGUUAGAAACCAACUUAAACCAAAAUAAAUAUAAAACACAUACAAACAAAAAAAAAACAAACCCCAAUACCAAUUGGUGAUUUGCAUACUGCUGCCCUUUUUCUUCAAAUUACAACUUACCAAACUCCUCAACCACCAAAUCAUUGUCCCUUUUUCUACAUACGCUUCAACCAACUCCUAUACCAACACAUCUAUAUCCUCUCUUCUUUCAUGGACAAGGUCUCACUCAGUCUCUUGCUUUCUUCCUCACAAGUACCCUCCCCAUCAAAAAACUUUGUUAACUUUUUUUACCAUUCUUAAUCACUUGUCCCACUGCCCCUAUCAAGCUUCCCAUUAUUUCCCUCACAACCUCCACACCAAACACCUAUCUCCUCCACCAGACUAGAAUUUUAUGGCUGUCAUAAUUGCAUAGGUAAUAUAAAUUUGGCUAUGAUCGGAGUCCAUACUUCAUAAGCCCCAUCGUGAGCCCCACACCGCAAAUGCUCACAAAACCACCAACGCUGGCGAUGUCGGCAAGAUUUUUCACUUGGGCGGCCCAACCCUUCCACCACCAACCCCCCUCUCUCCUACCCUCUCAAGAAACCCCUUAGAGGGGAGUGCCUCUCAAACAACAUAGUGUUGAUCCCAUUGGAAACCUCAAAAUCCAUAUGAAAUUAACCCGCACUAAGCUCUAAACAAGCGCUAUCUCCUCCAUUUGAGGUCGCCGACAGAAAAUAGCUCGGUCCAAAAAGAACAAAUACCGUGGAACCUUUUCCUUCCUCUUAAGCCAGUCGAUGAUCCCACCAGUAUCCAUCUUCGUGGUGGCAAUCUUGGACAAGCGGAAGGGGUAAUAUCUUCUUGCCAUUAACCUAGAGAGGGAGUCCAUGUAAUUUCCCUCAACCCUCUGAAAGUCUUGAUUAAAAUAAUAUCAGGAGAGCUAUGAGUGUCUUCUUUCCCAAAGGUUUCUCGAGAAGGAUUAAGCAAGUAGUAAACAUCCAGUUUGUCAUAUUCACGUAAAUAAAUCGAAUCUUGGAAAGGAAUUUUAGUGAGUGGAUUUUUAUAGAGAUUGUGUAUGAAAACGGUCAUGAUGACGCUACUAGUGAUGAAAUCAACAGCAGGAAUAUUAUAUGAAGAAGCAACACCCAGGCCCCACCACGGUUGGAUGAGAUCAUAGAUAAGCAAAUCCGGUUUUAGAGUUUUGAGGAUGUGACAGAAGAUUGGUUCGGACAAAUCGAGGGCUUCUUGAAGUAUUUGGCAUGAGAUUGGGAGGAGGUUUUUGGUGGUGUGGGAUUGUGGGGGAGGUCAGCAAGACCGUAAAUCGUGGAGCUCGACGAUUUUAUAGAGUGUGUGUAUAUUUUUUGAGUGAGUCUAGGCUUGAGCAUUGAGGUUGAUAGGGUAGAACAUAGGUAGAUCUUGAAGUUUCUGGUUGAGAGCUUUUGGCUUUAGCUCCAAGAAGGGGAGAUAUGUCAUGAGAUAGCCAUGGGAAAAUGAGAACACUGAUGGUACUUGCUUUGCAAUCCUUCUCUCUCUCUUCUCUUUUCGGGCUAUCUUAAAGUCUUCUGCACUUUGUGACAUGACAACCCUGUAUAUGUCGAUGGGGUGAGCAUGAGAUGCGUAUGGAGGAAUUCUUCUGAGAAUUUUCAUUGUCAACAAUAUAUUAAAGUUUAAGGGGAAAAAAUUUAUAAAUCGUGGAAAGAAUCAAAAAUAAUGUACUAAAUACUAAUGAAUAUUGUCUUAAUUUGUUAAGUCUAAUUAAUUUCUUUUUUUGCACUUUUUAUUUUUACUGCACAACUUUUUUAGUUAAUUUUUAAAACAGAAAUGAUAAAAUCACGUAGUCACGAUUAUCAUAACAAUUUGAUUGCAUUGGUAGAUGAUCUACACACUAAAAACUAAAAAAUAGACUUUUUGAGUUAGGAAACAUUAAAGGAUGGUUCUCCGCUCUUUUGCUUCUCGUAAUUUUUUAAACACCCCAUUCCCCUUUCCCUUCUUCCCCUGCUUUUUUUCCUUGAGCACCUAGUUUAUUUCUGGCUUUACCUGCUGGGUACGUGGUAAGCCGCAAUAAAUUAAAUAAUACCGUUCCUUGCAAUAAUAUAUUGAAAUUGAAUAUAAAUCCGAUAGAGUUUAAUUAUGUUCAUCUACCUCACAGGUAAAUAUUGCCCUCUUGUUAUUGAUUGAGAUGUGCGUGAUCCGCAUGGCAAACCUAACAAUGUCUAGAAUUUCUUUUGAAAAUUAAGUUGGAAAAGGAAUGAAAAUAGAUAAAAUGAGAGAAAAUUUAGGAGAGAUGAGGAAAGAGAGUGGGCAGAGUAGAGGUGUCAAGCGGGCCUUGCCGGCACGGCACGGCACGAGCACGGCACGAAAAAAACCCGGCACGAGCACGCUUGGGCAGGGUAAAAGUUGGGCACGGAACGACCACGGCACGGCACGGUCUGAGACGGGCACGGGCACCGGGCACGAGGCACGAAAAUGGGAGAGCACGGCCACGGGGCACAGCACGAUAGUUGCUCACAAAGCACGAAUGGCCGGCACGGUCAAAGUACGGCACGGCACGGGGCAUGGACACGACAGUUGAUUUGGUUUGGCAUGGCAUGGCCGGCACGGCACAACACAGACCUUAGCCAAGAACGGCACAGCAUGGGCACGAAUGUGUCACGGGCAAAAACCUGGGUAGACACGGAUAAUUGGCCUGACACGACACGGAAGUGACAAGGAAAUGAUAAUUAUUAAAUAAAUUAAAAUAAAAUUUAAUUAAAGAAAUUGACUUGCCAGGUAAUUUUAUUUGUAAAAAUUUGAACAAAAAGAAUAAAGAAAAGUAAAAUAAAUAAAUUUUUGACUUAUUCAUGGGUCAUUGGGGGGGCUGUAAAUAAAUAAAUAAUAAAAUAAAAAUAUAUUUUUAUUAAAUAAAUGACUUUUCAAAGGCCAUAAUAAGAAAAAAAUUGAGGAAAAAGUUAAAAUAAAGUAAGGAAUAACAAAAAUGAAAAAAUAAAAAAUAAAUAAAAAAUUAAAAAUUUGAAAACAAACUAUAAAUUUUAAAAUUUGGACUUAUGGCCCAUAUUAGGCCAUAAUAAGACAAAAAUAAAAUUUUAAAAAAUAAAACUUUGUAUUUAACAAAUGAGAAAAAAAAUAAAAAAUAAAAUUUUCAAUAAUAAAUAAUAAAAAUAAAAAUUUUGAAUUGAUAGACAAAAUUGAAUUUUUAUAAUUAUUAAUCUGUAUAAAAAAUUUGAUUUAUCUAUGCGCUAAACCACAACAAUCGCAACAUAAUUAUGACAAUUACACCAUCACUUUGGUUGUAGGUCACUCUCGUCGAAUUGAACAUCUAUCGAAUAUUGAAAGCCCUUCAUCACUUGUUGAAUAUAACGAGUGGUGGCAUAACCCCUCGAACUGCACUUUUUUCACAUUUUAGUUUUUUUACCUGUUGAAUAUAACGAGGUGGUGGCAGAACCCCUCGGAACUACACUUUUUCACAUUUUUAUAGUUGGUUGUGAUCUUAAUAAUUUAAGAUUUGACUAGCUUCUAAUACAAAAUAGGCAUUAUAUUCUCAAUGGAAGUUAAUAACGAUUUUGUCGUCAUUGACACUCCUUAUAAAUGUAUUUAGUUGGCGACAUUUUAAGCGACCGACACGACAAGAUUAAAAAAACGGGACAUGGCACGACCGAUUAAGUAGACCGGCACGGCAUGCACGAGUCAACCCGACUAAGUUAGUGGGCCGGCACGACACAGCAUAAUUAAGUAAGCGGCCGGCACGACACAGAUGAUAAGUAAAUGGGCCAGCACGGCAGACACGGUUAUAAAUGGCACGGGCACGGCACGAACACGAAUAAAAAAAAUAAACCACACGGCACGAUUAAAAAUGGCACGGCCAACGAUUAAGGCACGGCCACGGCAAGGCACGUUAAGUAAAUGGAGCCCAACACGGCACGGCACGAAGCACGGAAGAAAAGUGGCACGGCCCGGCACGGCGGGCACUCGACCACCUCUAUGGCUAGGCAUAGGUUGGCGUGUAAAUCGUUUUUAACUGUUGGCCCAAUAUCCUUGAGAAUAACCUUUCAGGUUUAACUCGUUGGUGUUUUAUUAAUUUUGAGAACAACGAUGGAUUAAUUUUGAUAACAUGUAGAGUGACCAAGAAAAAUGAACGUAUGGUCCCAAACAAAAGCUUUUGAGAGGAUAGUUUCGAGUUGACUCUAUACCCACGACCUCUCCAAUCAAAAACCUAAGCCCAAGUGGUAAUGGGCGGCCUUACCAGGACUUAGGUCCUGGGCUCGAUUCUCACUCCCACCCCUGGACAUAAGGCGCAAUCACUUUGGGCGAACAUUCGGUACACGAGCUAACACUUGGAGGUAUCAUGUUCGAUUCCUAGUGGCUGCGCCGUAUAUCCACGUUUACAUUCUUAGGUGUGAAGGGCUAACUGCUCAGGAUACAAAAAUUAGUCUGGGUGGGCCCAAAGGCCUCUCUUGGAUACUCUGUGGCUAAUAAAAAAAAAACUAUUGAUAAUUAUAUGUCAAUAGCAAUUUAUACGUAAUAAUAAAACUAGCUAUGGCUCUUCAU
rnacentral:lncRNA from 1 species